rnacentral:rRNA from 1 species
UACGUAGGGGGCAAGCGUUGUCCGGAUUCAUUGGGCGUAAAGAGCGUGUAGGCGGCCAGGUAGGUCGGUUGUGAAAACUGGAGGCUCAACCUUCAGAGGUCGAUCGAAACCAUCUGGCUAGAGUCCGGGAGAGGAGAGUGGAAUUCCUGGUGUAGCGGUGAAAUGCGCAGAUAUCAGGAAGAACACCCGUGGCGAAAGCGGCUCUCUGGGAACGGUAUGC